UUAGGAAUAUUCGUCAAUGGGAGGGAACUCUGAACGAGCAAUGCCGCGUGAAGGAUGACGGUCCUUUGGAUUGUAAACUUCUGUUGUUAGGAACGAAAAACUUAAGUAGGAAAUGACUUAAGCUUGACGGUACCUUUCAAGAAAGCUCCGGCUAACUACGUGCCAGCAGCCGCGGUAAUACGUAGGGAGCGAGCGUUAUCCGGAUUUAUUGGGUGUAAAGCGUGUGUAGGCGGUUACUUAAGUCUGUGGUCUAAGCCUGGAGCUCAACUCCAGUUCGCCAUGGAAACUGAGUUACUUGAGUAUGGUAGAGGCAAGUGGAAUUUCUAGUGUAGCGGUGGAAUGCGUAGAUAUUAGAAGGAACACCAGUGGCGAAGGCGGCUUGCUGGGCCAUUACUGACGCUGAGACACGAAAGCGUGGGGAGCAAAUAGGAUUAGAUACCCUGGUAGU
rnacentral:rRNA from 1 species